rnacentral:hammerhead_ribozyme from 1 species
AUCCGGCCGACCAGUUCAAAAUAGGACGAAACGCGCGUCAAACUGGAU